CCGCGGUAAGACGAGGGAUCCUAGCGUUGUUCGGAAUUAUUGGGCGUAAAGAGCGCGUAGGCGGUUUGCUAAGUCUGGUGUGAAAGCCCUCAGCUUAACUGAGGAAGUGCAUUGGAUACUGGCAGGCUUGAGUGUGAGAGAGGAUCGUGGAAUUCCUGGUGUAGCGGUGAAAUGCGUAGAUAUCAGGAGGAACACCGGUGGCGAAGGCGGCGAUCUGGAUCAUAACUGACGCUGAGGCGCGAAAGCGUGGGUAGCAAACAGG
rnacentral:rRNA from 1 species